UACUCCUGCAUGGUGUGAAAAAAAAAUAAAAAAAAUCUAAGAUUAACCCUAACCUCUCACCUUUCACCCAUCACCUUCUCAAACCUACUCUCUCUACCUUAUCUUCUUCCUAUCUUCAUCAAACACCACCAUUACCAAUCAUCUUCCUCAACCCUCACUCCACCCCACCACACCACCGCCGCACCUCCUUUUGGCCACCUCUAACAACAAUUUUUCGGCAGACCUCCAUUCUUCUUUUUUGACCUUUUUCUUCUUACUUUUUCAAGGUGUGAAGCAUCAUUCUUGCACGUACGACUUCUCGUCUGAAGUUCAAAGCAUCCUGAAAAAUCCGCACAUGCAAAGGGUUGUUCCCAAACGUGCGGUGACAUUUCUCGCACAUGCAGCCCGACCUUGUUUUGUGUAUGUGACGUUCUAAACCUAUUCUGGAGGCCUGCAAGGUAUAAAGAGGAAAAAAGAAAACUAAAAGAAGCCUCUAAUAUUUUUCCAAAGAAAAAGAGAGGAUAAGGUUUGGAGAGAAAAAGCUUGGAGCUUCAAGUAUGUCUUCCAUAGUGGCUUCUCCCUCUACCUCUUCCCGUUCAUCCAUGAGUGGCUAGUCUUCCAUUUUCUAGGGUUUUGAUGAAACCCUAGCCAUGUAAAGAGAUUUUUCUUAGGCUUUGAUUGCGUAACAAUUUGAAUAAAUGUAUAGAUGUUUUAGAAGUUUGCAAUUAUAUUUCUUUUCAUCUCUUCUAGUA